rnacentral:misc_RNA from 1 species
CCUUGGUGCCUUAGUGCACCUUGAGUCUUUAAUGAUAAUGCUCAUUAUCAUAAUUUUUAUCCAAAUUUUUUAUGGUGAUCUACUUGAUAAAUACAGACAAAUAUACAGACUCUUGUAAACAAAUUCUGGACAGUGGAAUAAUAUAUUGGAAGGAGAUCUUAUUCUUGAUCUUCUUACAAUGCACCUUAACCUUGUCUGCUGUUAAUUGAAGAACAAUAACAAGGUGUCAAAAUGCAAAUAACUAGUGUUGCAUGAAUCAAAGUCUAAUAUUCUUGUUGGUAAGUUGCAGCUUUUCUUUUGUAAAACUCUGAGAAAUUGGAUAUCAAAUAUGUAAAGGUGCCCCACAUUAAUGUGAAAGUUGGCACAAACAGAUAAUGUUAGAUUUCAUUAAAUGGUUUCUUUGUGGCAACUACGUCAUUAAAAUCUCUGAAUAAUGUUAGUUGUUUUAACAGCAUUUUAUGAGCAUCAAGCCACCAACAAAAUUAUUAGCUUUGAUGCCUUUAUAUUUUUAUCGCUUUGCUACUAUGGUUGGUGGUUUUGAUUGGAUGGGGAUAUACUCAAAAGUAAACCUCUUUCAUGUAAUCUAG